CGCCCUUAGAGUUUGAUCCUGGCUCAGGAUGAACGCUGGCGGCGUGCCUAAUACAUGCAAGUCGAGCGAACAGAUAAGGAGCUUGCUCCUUUGACGUUAGCGGCGGACGGGUGAGUAACACGUGGAUAACCUACCUAUAAGACUGGGAUAACUUCGGGAAACCGGAGCUAAUACCGGAUAACAUAUUGAACCGCAUGGUUCAAUAGUGAAAGGCGGCUUUGCUGUCACUUAUAGAUGGAUCCGCGCCGUAUUAGCUAGUUGGUAAGGUAACGGCUUACCAAGGCAACGAUACGUAGCCGACCUGAGAGGGUGAUCGGCCACACUGGAACUGAGACACGGUCCAGACUCCUACGGGAGGCAGCAGUAGGGAAUCUUCCGCAAUGGGCGAAAGCCUGACGGAGCAACGCCGCGUGAGUGAUGAAGGUCUUCGGAUCGUAAAACUCUGUUAUCAGGGAAGAACAAAUGUGUAAGUAACUGUGCACAUCUUGACGGUACCUGAUCAGAAAGCCACGGCUAACUACGUGCCAGCAGCCGCGGUAAUACGUAGGUGGCAAGCGUUAUCCGGAAUUAUUGGGCGUAAAGCGCGCGUAG
rnacentral:rRNA from 1 species